GUGGCCGUAGUUCAGUGGUAGAACGCCGCCCUGUGGAGGCGGAUGUCGUGGGUUCGAAUCCCAUCGGUCACCCCA
rnacentral:tRNA from 1 species